AACGAACGCUGGCGGCAGGCCUAACACAUGCAAGUCGAGCGAAGCCUUCGGGCUUAGCGGUGGACGGGUGAGUAACGCGUGGGAACGUGCCCUUUGGUACGGAAUAGCCCCGGGAAACUGGGAGUAAUACCGUAUGUGGUCGAGAGACGAAAGAUUUAUCGCCAAAGGAUCGGCCCGCGUUGGAUUAGGUAGUUGGUGGGGUAAUGGCCUACCAAGCCGACGAUCCAUAGCUGGUUUGAGAGGAUGAUCAGCCACACUGGGACUGAGACACGGCCCAGACUCCUACGGGAGGCAGCAGUGGGGAAUCUUAGACAAUGGGGGAAACCCUGAUCUAGCCAUGCCGCGUGAUCGAUGAAGGCCUUAGGGUUGUAAAGGUCUUUCAGUGGGGAAGAUAAUGACUGUACCCACAGAAGAAGCCCCGGCUAACUCCGUGCCAGCCGCCGCCGUAAAAC
rnacentral:rRNA from 1 species